rnacentral:rRNA from 1 species
GACGAACGCUGGCGGCGUGCUUAACACAUGCAAGUCGAACGGAAAGGCCCUGCUUGCCGGGUGCUCGAGUGGCGAACGGGUGAGUAACACGUGGGUGAUCUGCCCCUUAUUUUGGGAUAAGCCUGGGAAACUGGGUCUAAUACUGGAUAGGACCAUGCUGUAGGUGGUGUGGUGGAAAGAUUAGUUUCGGUAAGGGAUGAGCUCGCGGCCUAUCAGCUUGUUGGUGGGGUAAUGGCCUACCAAGGCGUCGACGGGUAGCCGGCCUGAGAGGGUGGACGGCCACAUUGGGACUGAGAUACGGCCCAGACUCCUACGGGAGGCAGCAGUGGGGAAUAUUGCACAAUGGGCGCAAGCCAGAUGCAGCGACGCCGCGUGGGGGAUGACGGCCUUCGGGUUGUAAACUCCUUUCAGCCAUGACGAAGCCCUUGUGGUGACGGUAGUGGUAGAAGAAGCACCGGCUAACUACGG